AGGGUGGACCCAUGUCCAGCCAGCUCCUAAACACACUCUCUCAUCUCUCUCUCCAUACCCAGACUCCCAGAGUAGCCGGCGGUGACUCUCGAUUCAAAUCCGGUGCAGCGCCGCCUCUACCUGCACCUGUUGCUUGCCGUCGAAGCCGCCCUAGCCAUCCCCAUGCCGUUGUUCGCCAUCCCCAGCCCGAGGCGGAAGGGUGGCCAUCGCGACGAGGAAGGGCCUCGCCUUCUGCAUGCUGUCGCAUCGCCCUCACUGGAAUGGUGGCGUUGGGCUGAUGCGGAGAGCGCUAUUCAAAACAUCGGGGCGCACUAGCGUCAUCCUCUCUCUAGGGUGACUCUCUUUACAGUGGGAGGUGCAGAUCGGAAGGAGAAGAGGCGAAAGAAGAUGGAGCUUAGUGGGGAGUGGAAAUCAGAGAGCCCUCAGGAGGGGUUGCACAAUAAGUCAUUCUGCUAGUCGAGCAAGAAGCAAAGCGUUAAAGCUACAGAGGUUCAAGGAUAGUUCCUUAAUCAGUUUCCAGCAUCGACCAUUAAACCUACUUGUGUGUUCACUGCUUCCUAAGAAAAGGCUUCAGCCUCAAAGGCACAUGGAUUUAUGAGGAAAAAAAGUUUCAGCUUCUGAAGAAAGGCACUUCCAGUAGCUCAUGUGCUUUUGUUCAUCUCAUUUGACCUGUCCAGUAGCUUUUACUGGUAUUUUCUGUAGAUACAGGCAGCUGCAGCAUGACUUUGUUUAGAGAAUUUGAACAGUAAUGGAUAUCUUUCCAUUCCAUUUUUCAUUAGGCAAUAACUUGUCUCUAGA